rnacentral:sRNA from 1 species
CUCCAGCCCCGAUUGAAGCGGAAAUCCUUUUCUGCCGGGGUUCGGCAUAAAAGAUUACAGCAUAAAGCGGGAUAAGCU